GUGCUCACUUCAGCAGCACAUAUACUAAAAUUGGAAUGAUGCAGAGAAAAUUAGCAUGGCCCCUGUGCAAGGAUUACAUGCAAAUUCAUGAAGCAUUCCAUAUUAAA
ensembl:snRNA U6 U6 spliceosomal RNA